rnacentral:rRNA from 1 species
GUGAGGAAUUUUCCGCAAUGGGCGAAAGCCUGACGGAGCAAUGCCGCGUGAAGGAUGAAGGCCUAUGGGUUGUAAACUUCUUUUCUCAGAAAAGAAUUAUGACGGUAUCUGAGGAAUAAGCAUCGGCUAACUCUGUGCCAGCAGCCGCGGUAAGACAGAGGAUGCAAGCGUUAUCCGGAAUGAUUGGGCGUAAAGCGUCUGUAGGUUGUUUAAAAAGUAUUCUGUCAAAGAUUAGGGCUUAACCCUAGAUAGGCAGAAUAAACUUUUAAGCUAGAGGUUGGUAGAGGCAGAUGGAAUUCCCGGUGGAGCGGUGAAAUGCGUAGAUAUCGGGAGGAACACCAAAGGCGAAGGCACUCUGCUGGGCCGAUACUAACACUGAGAGACGAAAGCGAGGGGAGCAAAUGAGAUUAGAUACCCGUGUAGUCC